rnacentral:siRNA from 1 species
AGGAACUACGAAUUAGACUGAGAU